AUUGAACGCUGGCGGCAGGCCUAACACAUGCAAGUCGAGCGGAUGAAGGGAGCUUGCUCCUGGAUUCAGCGGCGGACGGGUGAGUAAUGCCUAGGAAUCUGCCUGGUAGUGGGGGAUAACGUCCGGAAACGGGCGCUAAUACCGCAUACGUCCUGAGGGAGAAAGUGGGGGAUCUUCGGACCUCACGCUAUCAGAUGAGCCUAGGUCGGAUUAGCUAGUUGGUGGGGUAAAGGCCUACCAAGGCGACGAUCCGUAACUGGUCUGAGAGGAUGAUCAGUCACACUGGAACUUGGACACGGUCCAGACUCCUACGGGAGGCAGCAGUGGGGAAUAUUGGACAAUGGGCGAAAGCCUGAUCCAGCCAUGCCGCGUGUGUGAAGAAGGUCUUCGGAUUGUAAAGCCCUUUAAGUUGGGAGGAAGGGCAGUAGGUUAAUACCUUGCUGUUUUGACGUUACCAACAGAAUAAGCACCGGCUAACUUCGUG
rnacentral:rRNA from 1 species